UGAGACUGUUCACAUAGUAUCUUCAGAAUGGAAAGAACAAACCCCUCGCUUCCUCUGAUGGCACUGGGACUACAAAAAAGGAAGAGGAAUCUCUUUGGUCUCACCACAGCACACAUUUGCUGCCGAUCAAAUAUUCCAGACCAUCCGACUCAUACAACUGAACAAGAUUCUCCUAGAGAGAGCUACUCACCCAUUAAAAAAAAUGUACAUAUUUAAGGGGAAGGGGUGUGUAAAGAAGAAAACAGUAGCCAUGACCCAUAGAAAUCCUGCCUUAUGGCCUGUUUCCCUGAGAAGGUAACUCUCUGAUUUCAUUAGGGAGGGGGUGGAUACCAAAGCCAACAAAAGCUACCUUAAUACUUGAAGAAUUAAGAAAUAUCUUCAAAAAAUAGCUUGAAACCUGAGGCACGCCAAGAGAAAUGGAAAGAGAAGGC